UGCAAGAUUAUAGAAGUCAUUUUAUACGUGAAUAUAUCUCUAGAAGUAUAUUAUAUAACAUGAAUGUCCACUAAAACAUUUUAAUGAAUAUUUUGGUGAUCAGAAUAGUGAAGUGGUAUAUUCUGGGUGUUUAUAUCUAGUUUCAUACCUUCUCCAGACUCUCUUCAAGGAAGCCUGUUCUUUUCAGAAGCAUCGUUUGCAUGGACUCUUUAAUAGAUGAGAAUGAUGAUUUUUUUUUUAAUAUGGUACUAGGCAGAGCCACAAGCACCAGUCAGUUCUAAAGAGCCAACUGAAACACAAAGUUAUAAUUGCUAGCUUGUGUGAAGACAUGCUUUUCUCCUUCCAUUCUUGUUUACAGUUACCUGAACCAAUGUCACUUUCAGAUGCGCAGGACAAUGCUGACUAUAGAUUAUUUCAGAAAAUACUCAAAUUGCGUCGUUUGCCAUUUCCCUUUUGCACUACAUAAAGCAAAACUUUUGAGGGUGAAAGGAAGUUUUUCUGUCUGCCCUGAUCCAUUUUAGACCAUCAAAUUCUGCUGGAGCCAGCCUAGACCUGAAAAGCCUCCCA